rnacentral:rRNA from 1 species
AAUCAACGCUGGCGGCGUGCCUCAGACAUGCAAGUCGAACGCGAAAGCCCCCUUCGGGGGGCAAGUAGAGUGGCGCACGGGUGAGUAACACGUAGGUAAUCUACCUUUGGAUGGGGAAUAACCACCGGAAACGGUGGCUAAUACCGCAUAAUGCAGCGGCACCUAAUGGUGACAGUUGUUAAAGCGGGGGAUCGCAAGACCUCGCGUCUGAAGAGGAGCCUGCGGCAGAUUAGCUAGUUGGUAGGGUAAAGGCUUACCAAGGCGAUGAUCUGUAGCCGGCCUGAGAGGGCGGUCGGCCACACUGACACUGACAUACGGGUCAGACUCCUACGGGAGGCAGCAGUCGGGAAUUUUGGGCAAUGGGCGAAAGCCUGACCCAGCAACGCCGCGUGAAGGAUGAAAUCCCUCGGGAUGUAAACUUCGCAAGAACGGGAAGAAUAAGUAAGAGUUAACAUCUCUUAUGAUGACGGUACUGUUUGUAAGCUCCGGCUAACUCCGUGC